CACCUCACAUGGAGUCAAGUCUCUCAUACUUCCCAAGCACAGCAAACAAAGUAAUGUACUAUCUUUUCUUUUUGGCCAUUGACAAAGCAUUAGAAUGGAGUUGUAAAGAGAAGAAAUACAUCUGUAUGGUAGUCAAUGCAUAAUGUAUAUUGUUUUCAUGGUAGCAUGACACCUUUCUCAAAUUUUGAUAUGUUGUGCACAUUCAAGCACCUUCAUCUUUAAUUUUUUCAAUAGACUGACAUGGUUUAAUUUUGAUCUAGUUUUUGUGUUCUUUAAUAAUAUUUAGUGGCAAUUUGUCUGCUCUUCCAAGCAAAAGGAAGCUGCCUCAAGACCAAGUAACAUAACAUCGACUAUGAAGUAUGAUACCAUUCUGUCUAUUUUCCACAUGAUUCCAACUUAAUUGGGUUAUUUCUUCUAAUUGUUUUACUUCCCUAAAUCCUUGUGUUUUGCUUUUGUGGAUUGUCAUUUUCUGUCCUUCGACAAAAGGAUCAUACCACAUCAGAUGGUCAGCUGAUCACAUUACCUAGGCCUGGAAAUCAGGCUGGUUAGUCAUUAGGCUUAUACCAUGGAACUGGAGGCUGAAGUUGCAAAACUUAAAGAGAACAAUGAAUUAUGAGUGUAUAGGUAAAUGUGAUGCUUUCAGGAUAUUUUACCAUGGAACUGGAACAAUGAAAGUUCCCAUUUUGGGGAGAUGUCAGGAUAUUUUAUCAUAAAACAGUAUGUUUCUAAAGUUAUGAGUGUAUAGCUAAUGUGAUGCUUUCAUUAACUUGUUGAAUUUUGCAUGGAUCAUCAGGGGUCUUUGCUUUCCAUGAGGAGUCGAUUACUCUUAUCUUGGUUUUUUUUUUUUUUUUUAUGAAAUAAAUCUGUCAAUGGAAAUGGAGUGACUUUUUUUUUUUUUGCCAUCCUAAGUUAUGAUACCCGCAAGAAACCUUGACUUUCAUUUAUUUUGUACAGGAAUUCAAUAACCGUGUUAGAAGGGUUCCAGGUCAGCCCAAUUUGGCAUCAAGGAUUUAUUCGUGAUGAUGGAAGGCAUGCCAUUUAUUCAUUACAGCAGGAUCUAAAUUUUGUAGUAUAUAUUUAGGAGUAAGUAGAUAAGGUGGAUAUGGUUGCAUUUUAAGUGGCAUGAUAUUUGUUUGGAUUAUUUGCUGAAAAUGAUCACUGAAAUCUUCAACGAAAUAAAAUUGAUUGGUUCUUACU